rnacentral:misc_RNA from 1 species
CUUAAUGUCGCAUUUCGCCUUAAUGACAUUGAUUUGAGUUGGAAUCAAAAUGAAAAUUAUAUGGGAAUUCAUAAAUGUAUGGAAACAUUCAAAAAUGUUAUAAAAUGGUAUAUAUUACUUCUCUAAGGCAAACCCAAACAGCAACAUCAAUAGUUUCUAUCACAAAAGAGACAUUUUCCAAGAAAAAUAAUAAAUUGGAACAAACUUGCAUUCUUACAACAUAGUUGGAAAGGAAACAAUUAUUAGUAAAACUUCAUACUUCCUACAACCAAAAAAUUAAGAGGAUAAAUGGAAAAAGAAACCCCACAACAAUGCACAAGUAUUUCCUUUGAAAUAGAGUUUUUCUCAGCUAAAAUUUACCCAAAACUCAAGCACCUUGUGCAUUCCUAUUCUAAUUAACUUGGAAAAUUGUGUGCAUUUCAAUGGAGAACUCAUAAAACCAAGUUCUUUGCAGUAAAUAUAAAGUUGUCUUCAGAAUAGUUCUUGUGUUCAAG